rnacentral:rRNA from 1 species
AGGAUAAACGCUGGCGGCGUGCCUAACACAUGCAAGUCGAACGUCCUUGCGGUCUUCUUCUUCGGAGGAGGACCGCGAGGGAGUGGCGGACGGGUGAGUAACACAUGGGUACCUGCCUUUCAGUGAGGAAUACCGGCGAGAAAUCGCCGACAAGACCGCAUAGGCUUCCUUCGGUAGCCCGAGGGAAGCAAAGUUACUUCGCGAGAGGUGACGCUGGAAGAGGGGCCUGUGGCCGAUUAGCUAGUUGGGGGGUAACGCCUCCCAAGGCGACGAUCGGUAGC